rnacentral:rRNA from 1 species
AUGUGGAGGAAGGGGAAGGGGAAGGAGUAUGGUGGGGAAGGGGAAGGCGGAGGAGGUGUACAUGGCGUCGAUCGACCAGGGCACCACCAGCACCAGGUUCAUCAUCUACGACCACCACGCCAGCCCCGUCGCCUCCCACCACCUCGAGUUCAAGCAGCACUACCCGGAGGCCGGCAGGGUGAUCAGGUUGGGGGGCUGGUGUCGGACGGAUGGACCAACGACACCCACAACAUGUACAUCAGCUCCAUGGAGGCGUCCUUCAUGCAGCAUCUCUGUGGCCAGCAGCAGCACCACCACCACGCCACUCCCGACAGGAGCAUGAUCCAUGUGGGUAGUGGCCAUGGGCUCAAGGUGCUCAAAGAGGGAGCCUCUGAUAACCUCGGGUCUAAGAAGAACGUGCCACGCCCGCGUGAUGUUGGUGCACGAGGCCUGCCCGAGGAUCCGUGGGCGAGGUGUUUCAAGCCGCGUGAUUCCACUAUGAAUCAUCAUGGUGAUGGGGUUGGUGCUUCCGAUGGUGAAUCGGGCACCGAUACAGUUCAAGCGAUGGCUCCGAAGCAUGGAAGAGGAGUGAGCACUUGCGUCGGAGGAAAUCCUAUUGACAGAACCUCAGGUUGUUACACUUUUCAUCUUGUUUGCUGA